AUUUUCAGAAUAAUAAAAAUAAAAAGGGUUCAAAAAUAAAUCAAAAUGGAAGGAAAAUGAGAAAAAUAAAUGAAUAAAAUAGAACAAAUGAAAAAAGAAUAAAGGAUUUGCACAAGUCAAUGGUUGAACCCUUGACCUUGGGGUCAUGGGGGGAUCAACCCCCUCUCUCACUAGGCCACAAGCUUGGUGGUGUUAAUAAGACACACCGAAGCAAU
rnacentral:lncRNA from 1 species